rnacentral:rRNA from 1 species
UACGUAGGGUGCGAGCGUUGUCCGGAAUUACUGGGCGUAAAGAGCUCGUAGGUGGUUUGUCGCGUUGUUCGUGAAAACCGGGGGCUUAACCCUCGGCGUGCGGGCGAUACGGGCAGACUGGAGUACUGCAGGGGAGACUGGAAUUCCUGGUGUAGCGGUGGAAUGCGCAGAUAUCAGGAGGAACACCGGUGGCGAAGGCGGGUCUCUGGGCAGUAACUGACGCUAAGGAGCGAAAGCGUGGGGAGCGAACAGG